AAAUGCAGUCCAACUGUUAAAAAAUAAUGAAACUUAAAUCGCCAUUAAAGUAAAAUACCCCAAAACCACAGCCGAAUCGGAAAGAAUUCGAACUUAUUGAAAUGGACAAAUAAUAACAAAUUACUUUAAUAAAACCCGAUAUUUAUUGGUGACAUUCUUGAGUAAAACUUGCGUUGAUUUUGUAUCGCUCCCAUUAAAGGUCAAAUUCAAUUAAACCAUCAAUUUACAAUACAUGCAAAAACUGUUCACCAUUCGUGGCGAAAUGUCUUUGGUUGAUUCAAUUGACUAUUGAAACAUCCAAUUGAAAAUUAUUCAGAUUUUUUUCAGAAAAACAUUUUUUGUCUCAUAUUGGCUUAAGAACACAAACAGGAACGCCGAGCUUUAGUGUGAUGGUUUAUGGUUAGACAUCAGUAGUAUAUCCUUUUGAACUCGAAAAUAAAUAUACGAUCUGAGAGGAAUAUUUUGAACAUUUAGCCAAAACCAACAUAUUUUCAUCGCUUAUGAAGCCUUACAAAAGAAAACUAGAAAUUACAUUUGUAGAGUUCUCUUUCUUGUCACAAUAAAGCACAAGAUAGUCGGAAAAGGAAAACGAGUUUGAAGCAUAUGAGCACAUUAGCAUAAACAGCAAAUCCUUGUUGUGCAUGCAACAAAAAGGACAAAAGCAUUGAAUUAUAGCUGAGCGUAGAUGAAUGAAGAAGAAAGAAUAUUUCAGGGAUUUGAAGACAAAGAUUGAAGAAUAUUGUGUGUCGCUAGCAUAAUGAUGCCGCGGAAACGAUGGCGCCUAGUGCGUGACUGAAAGAAGCUAUCUUUGCGCAACGCCGAUAUCGUAACCGAUGAUGUACAACAGAGGUGCGUUAAUAAUUGCUUGUUGAAAACUAAUACCAACAUCCCGCCUGGCAGACGUGAAAUAACGUCCACUAUGGCAAUUUUUUCAUGCUUCGAAAGAGGCGACUCACCGCAUCACGUAUCCACACCUAGCAGUACUUGGUUGAGCAAUUGAAAGCUGACAGCACCGGUAGCUUAGCGAGCAUGCAGAGAUGUUUUGGUAUCCCUUGCAUGUCGCAUCCAGUUUGAGAACAGAAUCUGUAGUACCCCACCUAUGCAACAUUCGAAUCUAAUUUGCAUUGACACGAACUGCGAUCAAUAGCUUUCACCACACACGGUUAAGGAGUAAAUUGACUAUCAGAAGAAAAAACAAACGAUCGUGCCUUAUAAAUAUGAAGAGUAAAGGUGAGACCGGGCACAUAUUUCAUCGUAAUUGAAUUAUCAUUCGAUUUCAUACUUGACGACAAAAACAACAUUCCGGUGCGUGACAAAGAGCACGAUUCAAUUGUCUUAAUCAAUGUAAUGACCGUGAGAUGAUUGUCUUCAAUGAAGAUCUGAAAAAAUAACAGCAAGAUCAUGUGCACUAGAGCACGGUUGAAUAGUUUUUGCCCUGUCAACGGUAUAUUUUAGUGCCGGUAAGAGGACUGUUAAGAACUUUGUUUUAGACCAGUGCACUGUUUUAGUUCAUCAAUAAAUAUCCGAUUGCCUGUUAUUGUGCAUAAGUACCUAAUUGCCUGUAUACAUAUAUCUACCAGAAUCAAAUAAAUCAACAACACAUCUCCCAGCUCUUUACCUCCCAACAACUCCCAGCAACUUUAACGAUCAACUCCCAGCGAUUUCCUUAUGCGAGGCUCAGGCGCUGCUUGUAAAUCUGCCACCAAAAAGCGAGGGGGAAAGGAGCACAUUAGCCUCGAAGCGCAUCGCAUAUAACGUCGUUCUUCAGGGCCCCCUCAACCAACUUGGCCCUAGGCGACAUUGCUGGAGGGAUACAAUGAUCCUGAGCAUUAGCAUUCCUGUUAUCAAACUCUUUGGAUAAAAUGACGCUCUGACAUAUUACACUUUUUUAUGCAACCAACAAAUUAUUGCAAUUAUUAUACAUCGAAUUCAUCAAUCGUGCAUAUGUAUUGUCCAUGCUAGGGAGACAAUUCUUAUUUAAGGCGGAUUACAGAUCGCACUCUUGCGUUGAUAUUUGCUGCGCUCAAUUUCUGAAUUUAUUUGUAAGAUUACUUAUUUAUUGUGACAAUACGGCGUCAAACCGUAAAACUAAAAAUAUAAAUAAAUAAAUACAUA